GGCAGCGUAGCUUAAAAUAAAGCACUCGACUUGCAUUCGAAAGAUGGGCGUGUAAGUUCCGCUGCUA
rnacentral:tRNA from 1 species